UCAAGUUAUUAAGGGUGCAGGGCGGAUGCCUUGGCACUAGGAGCCGAUGAAGGACGUGAUAAGCUGCGAUAAGCUUCGGGGAGUUGCACGUAAACUUUGAUCCGAAGAUUUCCGAAUGAGGAAACUCACUUAGAGUAAUGUCUAAGUAUCAUUAAGUGAAUACAUAGCUUAAUGAGGGGAACUCAGGGAACUGAAACAUCUAAGUACCUGAAGGAAGAGAAAGAAAUUCGAUUCCGUAAGUAGCGGCGAGCGAACGCGGAUUAGCCCAAACCAAUAAAGUUUUCUUUAUUGGGGUUGCGGACAUAUCAUAACGAAGAGGUAUCGUAAUUGAAGAGGUUUGGAAAGACCCACCACAGAAGGUAAUAGU
rnacentral:rRNA from 1 species